GGCCUGAUGGUCUAGGGGUAUGAUUCGUUGUUAGGGUGUACCGCUCGCGGUAAAAGCUUUCGACGAGGUCCCGGGUUCAAGUCCCGGUUAGGCCC